rnacentral:lncRNA from 1 species
AAGGAAAAAAUGAGGAAAAAAUAUCUAGACUUAUUCAAGGCAAAUUUGGGGACCAAAUUGUUUUAGGUUAGAAGGAUGUAACACCCCACCUAUCACGAUGCUAAAAUGAUUUGGAAACCCUAUUUACUCAAGCAUUUAGUCGCGUUAAACUUAAAUUAAUUUAUGUUGUUUAAUAUUUUUCGAGAUUCGUGAUUUUGAUCUAUUUUUUAUUUUUU